rnacentral:rRNA from 1 species
UUAGAGGCAAACGGGUGGACCCGCAAUACGUCGACCCGGGGGAUUCAACCAGGCCGUGCGUUCGGGACGCGUGGGGGUUCUGCGGAGCUGUAAAGCCCGUGCCUCUGCGCAGGUCUCCGGGCGGACUGGUGCACUUUCCUCGGGUUGAUUGCCACGACCGGCUCUCCGUGCGGCCACAAGCCUUUGCUGGGAAGGUGACCGUCGGCCUCAUCGCCGGCGGUGUUAUAGACCAGCUUGUUCGUUGAGCUCGUCGGAGGGCCGAGGAAGUGUUGCCGUUUCUCGUCCACCCUCCGGCCAUCCUUGCUCGUCACGACUGGGGUGAACUGCUCCGUCAGUGCUCUCCCGACCGCGAGCGUAGGAAGGGCUGGUACGGUGCGAGAAAGCUUCGGGCCAGUGGCGAAUCGGUCGGUCCUCCACCCGACCCGUCUUGA